rnacentral:siRNA from 1 species
UUUUUCACUGUCCAAGGUAAGCCU